rnacentral:rRNA from 1 species
UACGGAGGGUGCAAGCGUUAUCCGGAUUUAUUGGGUUUAAAGGGUCCGUAGGUGGACCGUUAAGUCAGUGGUGAAAGCCCCUUGCUCAACAAGGGAACUGCCAUUGAAACUGACAGUCUUGAGUAUAAGUGAAGUUGGCGGAAUGUGUGGUGUAGCGGUGAAAUGCUUAGAUAUCACACAGAACACCGAUUGCGAAGGCAGCUGGCUAACUUAUAACUGACACUGAGGGACGAAAGUGUGGGGAUCAAACAGG